rnacentral:lncRNA from 1 species
CCACAGAUGCCCGCGGGGGGAUGAGCUCACAGACACCCUCAUUGUCAUGGAGGCUGUGGGGUGUGUGGGUGGGGCUGAGGGGCUCCUGCCAUCCCUUUGCUGCUAGCCAGGCCUUGAUGAGGGGAGGGGAGCUGACUUCCUAGAGAUCGCGCCACGUGCCUUCCGCCAUUUGUGAAGAACCCGCCGAUGAAGCCCAGCCUCGGUGGUCAUAAAUUGGUGCCUGGCGAGAUGCCAGCGAUGUCCAACGUGAUCACUCUUCAGGUCCCACCACACCGAUGGACUGCCCCGCAGGACCUCACUGCUGGACUGCACCGCAGGACCGCACCGCCGGACCGCCCCGCUGUCCUGGCAGAUUCAUGGGAACUUCUGGAAAGUGAUGGGAAAAAGUGACGGGAGCCUGCAUCACACCUGGAGCCCAUCAAAGUGACGGAACAGCACUCCGAAGGCAUGAGCACUUCCUGGUAUGGAAAUCAUUCCUCGGUUUCCAAAAACAUCCACACUGGUUUUUCUACGAAUGGUGGGAUUUUAUUUAAUUAUAUUUUAUUGUUCAACCCUGUCUGUGUUUUGUAAGUUUUCUGAAUUUAAUUCUACCUAUUGAAAGAUGCCCAUCAUGUACUCAAGAAAAUCAACUUGGAGCAUUGAAAUAAAAUACAAAAAUUGGGGGAUGCAGCUAAAGCUUAAGGAGAAACUGAUUACUCCAAUGCCUAUAUUAGACAUGAAGAAAAAGUUUAAAAUCAAUUAUCUUUGCUUCCACUUUAGGGAGCUAGUUAAAAAAGAAAAAAUU